rnacentral:rRNA from 1 species
UACAGGGGGGGCAAGCGUUGUUCGGAAUUACUGGGCGUAAAGGGCUCGUAGGUUGCCAACUAAGUCAGACGUGAAAUCCCUCAGCUUAACUGGGGAACUGCGUCUGAUACUGGAUGGCUUGAGUUUGGGAGAGGGAUGCGGAAUUCCAGGUGUAGCGGUGAAAUGCGUAGAUAUCUGGAGGAACACCGGUGGCGAAGGCGGCAUCCUGGACCAACACUGACACUGAGGAGCGAAAGCCAGGGGAGCGAAACAGGG